ensembl:misc_RNA Metazoa_SRP Metazoan signal recognition particle RNA
GCCAGGUGGUGCACACCUAUAGUCCCAGCUACUAGGGAGGCUGUGACAGGAGGACCACUUGAGUCUAGGGGUUCUGAGCUGUCAUUCACUAUGCUGAUUGGGUGUCUGCACUAAGUUUGGUAUCAAUAUGGUGACCUCCUGGGAGCAGAGGGACCCCCAGGUUGUCUAAGAAGGGGUGAACUGGCCAAUGUCAGAAAUGGAGCAGGUCAAAACUCCUGUGCUGAUCAGAAAAUUGAAAUGAAGAUUUGAGGUUCAAAGGAAGUAAAACUUAAAUAUCUUACAGGAGCCAUUCAACA